UGAGGAAUCUUCCGCAAUGGGCGAAAGCCUGACGGAGCGACACCGCGUGAAGGAUGACACCCUUUUGGGCGUAAACUUCUGUUCUGAGGGACGAAAUUUUUGACGGUACCUCAGGAGAAAGCACCGGCUAAUUCUGUGCCAGCAGCCGCGGUAAGACAGAAGGUGCAAGCGUUACUCGGAAUUACUGGGCGUAAAGCGUCCGCAGGUGGUCCUGUUCGUCUAGGGUUAAAUGGCGAAGCCUAACUUCGUCACCGCCCUGGAAACAGCAGGAAUAGAGUCAUUCAGAGGCAUCUGGAAUGCCGUGUGUAGGGGUAAAAUCCGUUGAUCCACGGUAGAACGCCAAAAGCGAAGGCAGGGUGCUAGGAAUGUACUGACACUCAUGGACGAAAGCGUGGGGAGCAAACCGG
rnacentral:rRNA from 1 species